UUUUUUUUUUUUUUUUUUUUUUUUUAAACUACUUCUUUCUGCCUAGGCCAUAUUCCCUCAGCUGUCCUCUCAUUUCAAGUCUUUUCUGAUUUGUUUCUGCUCUACGUUGUACUUCUUGCUGUCUUAACACUUCAAUUCCUGCAAUAUACAUCAAACCACUUAAAUUUUUGGUAUCUUUUUUGCUUAAUACCUCCCCUCUUCUAAGCACCAAUACAAUGGAAUAACGUAAAAAUAAAUUAAAAUGUCCUAUGAUUCAACCUAAUGUUCAACUUGAUGUCAGGUUCAACCUGAUCAUUAAUUACAUGUAGAAGCAGGUUUUUAUAAAAACAUUUUCUCAGUAAUUAAAGGCCAACAACUAUAAUACCAUCCUUAGUAAAGGGAAGAAGGCUGUAUUUCUUCAUUUGCCCUUGAUACAUAUGUAUGGAAACUGCAAGGUGCCUAUCCUAGAUGUCUCUCUCUCUCUUUUUUUUAACUAAAGUAUAGUUGAUUUACGAUAUUGUGCCAGUUUCUGCUGUACAGCAAAGUGACUCAAUCAUACGUAUACACAUUCUUUUUUUAUGUUCUUUUCUAUCAUGGUCUAUCCCAGGGUCCCUCUCUUUUUCUCAUUAACAAAAUCCCCACUUAAGUAAGGGCAGAAUGUGACCAACUAAAAGGCUACAUUUCCCAGCUCUCCUUACAGACAGAGGCAGCCAAUAGGACAUAAAUGGAAGUCAUUGCCCUUUGGCCUCCUACCCUUCCCCCCACUGCCUUCUUGCCUAGAAGACAGAUGGCUGGCUAGGGUGGAAGCAGUCAUCUUAGGACUUUCAGAAUAGAAGCCAUAUGUUAAGGCUGGCAGAGCAGAAACUUAGAAGAAGACUAGAGCCCUAACCUCAUGGGACCAAGAAAGUUUGUUUCUUUUUAAAAAAUAUAUAGAUUUUACUCUCUAAAAUAGAUCUAUGACAAACAUUCACACUAAAAAGCAUCCGUUAUACUGUAUCUAAAACCUGGUGAUGGACACUUACCAUAAAAAGGCAAAACAAUUUACUGACUUAAGAGUCUGGUUCUAAAUUAGACAAACUUGAGUCUGAACCAGUACAGCCAACUUGCUACCUAUGUGGCUUCCUGGAUACAUAACAUCUCUAAACCAACAUCUCUUUUAUUAAACAGUUGGUAGUCAAGGGUUGUUCUAAUUACUAAAUACUAGUUUUUGGAGUUCCCUGGUGGCUCAGCAGGUUAGGGAUCUGGCAUUGUCAUUGCUGUGGCUCAGGUUGCUGCUGUGGCAUGGGUUUGAUCCAUGACCCCAGAACUUCUGCACGCUGUGGGUACGGACAAAAAAAAAAAAAUGCUAGUUCUAAAUACCAUACCUGGUAUUAUUUUGUAAGGCUGAACAUGUAUGCUCUAUGACCCAGCAAUUCUACUCAUAAGCAUCUACCCUACAGAAACACUGAGGUGCUUAUACCCGUCUGUACAUCCAACACACAAAUGCAAGUAAACAAAAAUAUUCAUUGCAGCAUUGCAAUGUCUAUCAUCAAGAAAAGGGAAAAAAAUAAAUCUGGGGAUAGUUACAUGAUGGAAUAUUAUACCACAGGAAAAUUGAAUCAACUACAAUCACAUGCAAUAACAUAAACGAAUUUCUUAGAAACAACAUAGAGUGAAAAAAGCAAAUAGAGGAAUUCAAAAUAUACCAUUUUUAUAAAGCUCAAAAACAAGCAAAACCAAAUGCUAUAUUUUAAAAUAUAUAAUAAAAUUUGUUUUUUAAAUGAAUAUAAAAUACAAAAUGUGGAGUUCCUGUUGUGGCUGCACAGAAACGAAUCUGACUAGCAUCCAUGAGGAUGCAGGUUCGAUUCCUGGCAUUGCUCAGUGGGUUAAUGAUCCAGCGUUGCUGUGAGCUGUGGUGUAGAUUGCAGACUCAGCUCAGAUCUGCGUUGCUGUGGCGGUGGUGUAGGCCAGCAGCUGUAGCUCCAAUUGGCCCCCUAGCCUGGGAACUCCAUAUGCCAUGGGUGUGGCCCUAAAAAGACAAAAAAAUAAUAAAAUAAAUAAAAUACAAAAUGCAUUGCAGCAAUUAUCUGAGGGGAAGGCAGGAGAGUAGAUAGAGAAGAGGAACAAUACUGGUAAUGUUCUUGUUUUUAAGUUGGAUAGUAGGUUCAUAGGCAUUCCUUUUAUUAGUAUAUUUCCUAAAAUACAUUUUAUAUUUCAUAUAUUCUUUUAGCACGUCAAAUGUCACAUAAGCAUAUAAAAAUAGUGUGAAAGGAUACGAGUUGCUGAUUUAAAUAAUUUUAAAAAGACAUUCCAUUCUUGCUUCAAUCAAAUAGUGUCUGUUUCAGAAUUUCAGUAACCAAUUCUCACCACUUUCCACAAGUCAGUAAAUUAACACUAUUUUUAAUGGCAUCUAAACACUGGAAGAGUCCCUAGUUGCAUUUAACAAAAAGAAAGCCAUUCAUCCUCCAGGGAUUAAGAGGCCUAUUUAAGAUUCAUAAUUAAGCAAAGAAUUUAAAGUUACACUUAUCUGUUAAUUUGGCCUCCUCUUCUGCACAUCCCCACAGCUGCUGUUCCCGUUCUCGAAUAAUUACGCAUCCUCUCUUGCUCAGUUUUUGUUGUUCUACCUCCCUCUGCAUAUUCUCUCCACACACAGGAUCUUUCCUUUCAGCCAGGAUGCAGGCUUCUCCACCUCUCUCCUUUGGUGUGGGUGUACUUCAUUCCACAUUAAAAACAUAAACACCUGACACUAACACUAACUGAAUACUAACACUGGGUUUGCCCUUAUAAAUGUCUUCAAUAUAUCAAGGACACAAAUGAGGCCAGUGAACCCUAGGACAGUACUUUGAGAUUUGAACCAGCUAGUCAUCUUCUUCAUAACUUGAUUUUUCUUGGUUAAAGUUACAUGCUGAAUAUUGGGAAGAAGGUGGAAUACAGGCAUGAAACAAAACACAGUUGCUACCAUAAUGAAAUGAAAAGCGAAUUCACCAUUGCAAGUGAAAGUCUAAUCAAGUAUUACUCAAGUUGUGAACAUGAUGGAGGAUAAUGUGAGAAAAAGAAUGUAUACAUAUGGGAGUUCUCGUCGUGGCGCAGAGGUUAACGAAUCCGACUAGGAACCACGAGGUUGCGGUUCUGAUCCCUGGCCUUGCUCAGUGGGUUAACGAUCCGGCGUUGCCGUGAGCUGUGGUGUAGGUCACAGACGCAGCUCGGAUCCUGCAUUGCUGUGGCUCUGGCAUAGGCCAGCAGCAAAAGCUCCGAUUAGACCCCUAGCCUGGGAACCUCCAUGUGCCACGGGAAUGGCCCUAGAAAAGGCAAAAAGACAAAAAAAAAAAAAAGUAUACAUAUAUAUAACUGGAUCACUUUACUGUACAACAGAAAUUGACAGAACACUGUAAAUCAGCUGUAAUUACAAAAUUAAAAAACAAAACAAAACAAAAAAAUGCUUUGCAAUUUGGUUCCAGGAGCAGGAUAUUUUGGGGGCACAAGCCACCUGUCUCCUUGCAUGGCCUGCAAUUAACCUUUCUCAGCUCCAAAAAAAAAAAAAGUUUUAUUCAGCUUGCAAUUACUUACACAUCACACAAAUCCAAAAAUUGCAUCUAGUGGAAGCCAACAGACCAAAAUAAAAAAUGGGUUCUAAAAUAUCAAGUAUCCAAAAUUUUCACAUCAUGCCUAAUUAUCCUAAAGUUGUUGGGGUUUUUUUUGUUUCGUCUGUUUUUUGGGUAUUUUUUUGUUUGUUUUUUUCUUUUGUCUUUUCAGGGCCACACCCGCAGCAUAUGGAAGUUCCCAGGCUAGGGGUCAAAUUGGAGCUACAGCUACCAGUCACAGCCACAACCACUAAGUUAAGCCAGGUCUGCAACCUACAGCACAGCUCACAGCAACACUGGAUCCCCGACCCACUGAGCGAGGCCAGGGAUAGAACCCGCAACCUCAUGGUUCCUAAGUCAGAUCCAUUUCCACUGCACCACAACCGGAACUCUGGGUUUAUGUAACUUUUAACAAGUACCUCUUAUAACUCAAUAUAAACUUAUUUUAAAAUAAGUUUUUCCUCCAAAGAACACUCAGCUAAUAAAACCUGCCCAUAACCAACUACAACUCAGUCUUCCUUAGCAUUUAACUCCACAGUAAAAGUUACAAUAAUCUGGUAUUCUACCAAAUACUAUGAAAUGUAUUUGACAGCCAAAAUCACCAUCUAAUGAUUUCCUUAUGUGCUUUUCAUAUCCCAUACCUCUGGGUAACAGGUAAUUCUUAAUAUCUCCAGAUAUGAAAAGUCCUCAGUAAGAAAAGUAAAUGUCAUGCUUUCAUUUUCUUAUCAAUCAACACAUUGAACAUCCUAAUAACAUAUUUGCUGACAUACCACAUGCCAGACAGUUGUAAACAUUUUCUUUUAGUUACACAACAUACAAUCAAUCUCUGGAUAUUUUGGUUUCCCUACUUAGGACUAGAAUAACUCUUCUCAAAAUUAAACAUAAUUGCAACCAGACUAGAAUGGCUUUCCCAACAGACUUGUUCUCCAAAAAAACCCCACUAAUCUUUGAACCAACCAAAUUGGUUACAUCAAAACUGGUUAUUUCAAUCACUUCCCAAGAAAUAUUUUCCUGAUUUCAGGUGAUAUAUUUUAAUGUUAGUUACCUGUUUCAUCAGUGCAUUUCAAAGAAUUGUUCUGAAAGUAAUGUCCAAAACAGGAAAGAGCAGUUUAAAUUCAAGAUUUAAGCUCUACGCCCAAUUUAACAUUUAAGAACUAUGGCAGUUUGGCUACAAAGGUUGCCAACUCUUCCCAUCAAGUGUUAGAAUCACAAUGUGAGGCCCAGUCUUCCCAGCCAGCCUCCAGAUGAUUGAAUCAUCCUAACUGAGGUACCAGACAUGAACCUUGAGGCCAUCUUGUAUACUCCAGCUCCAGCCCAGCCACUGGUACUUAUACCACACGAAGUAGAGACAAGCUGCCCUAGCCCGUACCAUGUGGAGCAAAAAUAAGCCACUUUUACAAAAUCCUGGUCCAAAGAAUCAUGAACAAUAAAACAGUUAUUAUUUCAAGUCACUAAAUUUCAAGGUGAUUAAUAUGUAGCAAUAGAUAACCUGAUACCAAAACCAGACAGACAUCACAAGAAGAAAGGAAGGAAGGAAAGGGGGGAGGAAAUUACAGGAUAAUAUCCCUUUUAAAUAUAGACAAAAAAUCCUGAACAGAAAACUAGCAAACUAAAUCCAGUAACAUAUAAAAAGGAUUAUCCACAAUUACAAAGUGAAAUUUAUCCUAGAAAUGCAAGGUUGAAUCAACAUAGAAAGGCCAAUAGAUAUAAUAUACCAUAUCAACAAAAUAAAAGACAAAUUCUUCAUGAUCAUUUCCAUAGAUGCAGAAAAAGCAUCUGACAAAAUCUAAACCCUUUCAUGAUUAAAAAACACACUCAGCAAACAAGGAACAGAUGGAAAUUUCUUCAACCUGAUGAAGAAUAUCUAUUAAAAAACAAAAAACUACAGCUGAUAUCAAUACAUCCCAUACAUAGGGAGAAAGCUUUCUCCCUAAUAUCAGGAAGAAAAACUAGAAUCUUACCACUUCUUUUGACACUGUACUAAAGAUUCUAGCCAGGGCAAUAAGGCAAGAAAAAUAAAUAAGCAUACAGUUUAGAAAAGAAGAAGCAAAAUUAUUUCAAUUUACAUAUGAAAUAAUCUUGUAUACAGAAAACUAUGAAAUUCACACACACACACACACACAAAUCUACUACAACUAAUAAGCAAGUUCAAAGAGGUUGAAGGAUACAAGAGCAAUAGUCAAAAAUCAACUGCAUUUCCAGAGUUCCUGUCAUGGCUCAGUGGUUAACGAAUCCGACUAGGAACCAUGAGAUUGCGGGUUCGAUCUCUGGCCUUGCUCAGGGGGUUAAGGAUCUGGCGUUGCCAUGAGCUGUGGUGUAGAUUGCAGAUUCGGCUCGGGGGAUCCCUGGCAUAGGCCGUUGGCUACAGCUCCGAUUAGACCCCUAGCCUGGGAACCUCCAUGUGGCACAGGAGUGGCUCAAGAAAUGGCAAAAAGACCAAAAAAAAAAAAAAAAAAAAAAA
rnacentral:lncRNA from 1 species